GAUGAAGAACGCAGCGAAAUGCGAUAAGUAAUGUGAAUUGCAGAAUUCAGUGAAUCAUCGAAUCUUUGAACGCACCUUGCGCUCUUUGGUAUUCCGAAGAGCAUGCCUGUUUGAGUGUCAUGAAAAUAUCAACCUUGACUUGGGUUUUGUGCUCUAGUCUCGGCUUGGAAUUGGGUGCUUGCCGCUUUUACGAGCGGCUCACCUUAAAUGUAUUAGCUGGAUCUGUCUUUGAGACUUGGUUUGACUUGGCGUAAUAAGUAUUUCGCUAAGGACAUUCUUCGGAGUGGCCUCGUUUCUAGGACGCUUGUCCGCUUUCCAAUACAAGUUCCACCUCGUGGACAUGACUUUUUAUUAUCUGGCCUCAAAUCAGGUAGGACUACCCGCUGAACUUAAGCAUAUCAAUAAGCGGAGA
rnacentral:misc_RNA from 1 species